UUACACCGUUGGCGGGACAGCUUCCCGGG
rnacentral:sRNA from 1 species